CUUGUACACACCGCCCGUCACACCAUGAGAGUUUGUAACACCCAAAGUCGGUUGGAUAACCUUUUUAGGAGUCCGCCGCCUAAGGUGGGACAGAUGAUUAGGGUGAAGUCGUAACAAGGUAGCCGUAGGAGAACCUGCGGCUGGAUCACCUCCU
rnacentral:rRNA from 1 species